rfam:Schistosoma mattheei strain Denwood, Zambia genome assembly, scaffold: SMTD_scaffold0001598
AGCUUUUCUAAUCCGUGCUGAGAUUUCAUCAGACACCAACCCAUUAAGGCUAAUGAGACUUCAGAGAUAAGUGAAGUU